rnacentral:lncRNA from 1 species
UACACUAUAGUUCCAGCAGUCUUAUUCUUGGAUUAACAAAAAUUGCAAAAUAAAAGAUGCAAAAGCUGUUUUAAUUAGUGAAAAUAAUGGCUUCUAUGAAUACUUAAAUAUGAAUAAAAAACGCCCAAUCUAAAUGUAUUCUUAAUUUCACAUACUGUAUCUCUAUCAGAAAUAGUGCUCAACUUUCCAAUUCACUCUCCCAACCAAUACGCCACAACUUCAUUAUUGUCGAUUUUUACCAUAAAACGGAGAAAUAUAAAAGGCAAAGUAAAAAUCUUACUCCCCACAAGUGAAACCGCCAAUCCCUAAUCGUUUUUCUUGUGGAUCCUUAUCGACUUUAAUCAGCCACCAAUCGUGCAAAAAAACCUGCAAGAGGGAAAAAGAAACACAAAAAGAAGUGUUAGACUGGAGUGAUCGUGUCUACAUGUGAUAACACUGACCAUGAACGAUAAUCCUGGGGAAAGGAAAUACAAACUUCUUUCAAAAAGAAAGAAAGGACGGCUGUGCUGUUGGAAGAGGGAAGACUUUUUCGAGAGUAACUGCGGCGGAGGAGAGCGCUGGUUGGCGUCGCCAUGAGUGGCUCUGGGCGUGAUUUCUUCUGAUUUGGGGUUUCGAAUGGAGGGUAGGGUUCUUGGCGGAGGGAAAAUUUAGCCCUUGUUUGGUUGGGUAAAAUGUCAAAAACAUAUUUUGAAUAGUUUAUUUUAGAGAGUGUGUGAAAAAAAAAAAAAUUGAAGUAAAAUAUUUUAUUAUAUGAAUGUGUAACUAAAAAUGAGUAUGUAAAAUAAAUUAAAGUAAAG